GGAAAUAAAAGUCGGUAACAAGGUUUCCGCAGGUGAACCUGCGGAAGGAUCAUUAAUGAGUUGUCAUGGGGUUCGAUGCUGGCAGCCAAUUUUUGGAUGCAUGUGCUUGCCCUAACAAUCAUCUUCCAAACACCUGUGCACAUUUUUGAGGGAGUCUUGAGUUGGUUGCCGCUCUUGGGUGAUUUUCUCACAUUCCCUUAAAUCAUUAUACGCUAUUAACAAUGUUGAACGUGCUCUGUGCCGCAAGGCUAUUAAUAUAAUACAACUUUUAACAACGGAUCUCUUGGCUCUC
rnacentral:misc_RNA from 1 species